UUACGGCCAUAUCACGCUGAAACAUCGGUUCCCGUACGAUCACCGAAGUUAAGCCACGUCGAUCUUGGUCAGAUAAUUGACCGCUUGGAAAUACCAGGUGCUGUUA